rnacentral:rRNA from 1 species
GAUGAACGCUGGCGGCGUGCCUAAUACAUGCAAGUCGAGCGAACAGACGAGGAGCUUGCUCCUCUGACGUUAGCGGCGGACGGGUGAGUAAAACGUGGAUAACCUACCUAUAAGACUGGGAUAAAUUCGGGAAACCGGAGCUAAUACCGGAUAAUAUAUUGAACCGCAUGGUUCCAUAGUGAAAGACGGUUUUGCUGUCACUUAUAGAUGGAUCCGCGCCGCAUUAGCUAGUUGGUAAGGUAACGGCUUACCAAGGCAACGAUGCGUAGCCGACCUGAGAGGGUGAUCGGCCACACUGGAACUGAGACACGGUCCAGACUCCUACGGGAGGCAGCAGUAGGGAAUCUUCCGCAAUGGGCGAAAGCCUGACGGAGCAACGCCGCGUGAGUGAUGAAGGUCUUCGGAUCGUAAAACUCUGUUAUUAGGGAAGAACAAAUGUGUAAGUAACUAUGCACGUCUUGACGGUACCUAAUCAGAAAGCCACGGCUAACUACGUG